rnacentral:rRNA from 1 species
UACGUAGGGUGCAAGCGUUAAUCGGAAUUACUGGGCGUAAAGGGCUCGUAGGCGGCCAACUAAGUCAGACGUGAAAUCCCUCGGCUUAACCGGGGAACUGCGUCUGAUACUGGAUGGCUUGAGUUUGGGAGAGGGAUGCGGAAUUCCAGGUGUAGCGGUGAAAUGCGUAGAUAUCUGGAGGAACACCGAUGGCGAAGGCAGGUCUCUGGGCCAUAACUGACGCUGAGACGCGAAAGCGUGGGGAGCGAACAGG